GCUCAGGAUGAACGCUAGCUACAGGCUUAACACAUGCAAGUCGAGGGGUAGCAGGGUAGCAAUACCGCUGACGACCGGCGCACGGGUGAGUAACACGUAUCCGACCUUCCCAUAACUCAGGGAUAGCCUUUCGAAAGAAAGAUUAAUACCUGAUAGUACUUAAGAAAGGCAUCUUUUUUAAGUUAAAGAUUUAUUGGUUAUGGAUGGGGAUGCGUUCCAUUAGAUAGUUGGUGAGGUAACGGCUCACCAAGUCUUCGAUGGAUAGGGGUUCUGAGAGGAAGGUCCCCCACAUUGGUACUGAGACACGGACCAAACUCCUACGGGAGGCAGCAGUGAGGAAUAUUGGUCAAUGGGCGAGAGCCUGAACCAGCC
rnacentral:rRNA from 1 species